UACGGAAGGCAGCAGUGGGGAAUAUUGCACAAUGGGCGCAAGCCUGAUGCAGCCAUGCCGCGUGUAUGAAGAAGGCCUUCGGGUUGUAAAGUACUUUCAGUCGUGAGGAAGGUGUUAAGGUUAAUAACCUUAGCAAUUGACGUUAGCGACAGAAGAAGCACCGGCUAACUCCGUGCCAGCAGCCGCGGUAAUACGGAGGGUGCGAGCGUUAAUCGGAAUUACUGGGCGUAAAGGGCACGCAGGCGGUUAAUUAAGUUGGAUGUGAAAUCCCCGGGCUUAACCUGGGAAUGGCAUUCAAGACUGGUUAGCUAGAGUCUUGUAGAGGGGGUAGAAUUCCAUGUGUAGCGGUGAAAUGCGUAGAGAUGUGGAGGAAUACCGGUGGCGAAGGCGGCCCCUGGACAAAGACUGACGCUCAUGUGCGGAGCGUGGGGAGCGAAAC
rnacentral:rRNA from 1 species